UGAGUAACGCGUAUGCAACCUACCUAUCAGAGGGGAAUAACCCGGCGAAAGUCGGACUAAUACCGCAUAAAACAGGGGCAACCGCAUGGUGAUAUUUGUUAAAGAAAUUCGCUGAUAGAUGGGCAUGCGUUCCAUUAGGUAGUUGGUGAGGUAACGGCUCACCAAGCCGACGAUGGAUAGGGGAACUGAGAGGUUGGUCCCCCACACUGGUACUGAGACACGGACCAGACUCCUACGGGAGGCAGCAGUGAGGAAUAUUGGUCAAUGGGCGGGAGCCUGAACCAGCCAAGUCGCGUGAAGGAAGAAGGAUCUAUGGUUCGUAAACUUCUUUUGCAGGGGAAUAAAGUGCAGGACGUGUCCUGUUUUGUAUGUACCCUGAGAAUAAGGAUCGGCUAACUCCGUGCCAGCCGCCGC
rnacentral:rRNA from 1 species